GAUGAAGAACGUAGCGAAAUGCGAUACUUGGUGUGAAUUGCAGAAUCCCGUGAACCAUCGAGUCUUUGAACGCAAGUUGCGCCCGAAGCCAUUAGGCCGAGGGCACGCCUGCCUGGGCGUCACACGUCGUUGCCCCCCCAUCUACUCCUUCGGGAUUGCGGGGGGCGGAUGAUGGCUUCCCGUGCGCCUCGUCGCGCGGUUGGCAUAAAUGCCAAGUCCUCGGCGACGCACGCCACGACAAUCGGUGGUUGCGAAACCUCGGUUGCCCGUCGUGUGCGGUCGUCGCGCAUCGAGGGCUCGAAAAAAUUGUCGGGCUCCGGCUCGGCUUUCAACGCGACCCCAGGUCAGGCGGGGUUACCCGCUGAAUUUAAGCAUAUCAAAAGCGGAGGA
rnacentral:misc_RNA from 1 species